rnacentral:sRNA from 1 species
AAACGUAGAAUUCGUCAAAUAAAAGGAUGAAUGUGUUGGGUGAAACUGAAUGUUGCCCAACUGUUUUAAUUUUUGAAACGGCUCGUCAAACUGAAAUCUGUAAAAGACAUCGACCGAAAGAUUUUGUAACGCAGAAGGUAAGAUAUCGCCACAUCUGGAUAUCCAUCGACGUCAAAUUUAUUUCCGUGGAUGAAAAGAUAUCUUAGAUGGCCAAGACCAACAAAAGCUUCCGUUGAUAUCAAAGAUUUGCGAAGUCCACAAUUUGAUAAGUCUAAGACACAAAUGUUUUUAAACUGUGCGAAACUCCCAUUUUGUAAUGAUUGCAAUUUGUUAUUUUGCAAAUGUAUCGCCGUGACUCUAUGUGAUAACCAAAUUGGAACAUGGCCAAAAGUAUCUUUGGAUAUAUCACUGAAUGAAUUCCAUGAUAAAUCCAUGACUAAUGUGGUGAAUUUGGUUGUCGGAAAGUGGCGUGGAAUGCUACUCAAAUUAAGGCCACUGCAAUUCCAAAGAAGUCCUGUAUUUCCACAAUUAUCUACGUACUUUGACGUUUUGCAAAGGAUCUCUGGAUCUGAACCUUAUGGCAAUGAGAAAAAAGACAAAGUCGUGAAUGAAAAAGGAGCAUGCCUUCUCAGUUCUUUGGUUUGGACUGCGAGGAUCACUGCGCAUGUGCCCCGGAGAUCUGUAAUUUAUUCCUUGGUUGUUCAGCACGAUACAGAAACGAUACAGACAUUGAUUAUCCGUGGAAAACUAAAGGUUACAAUAUUGAGCCCAAAUAUACUAGCAAUGCAGCGGAAAGGAACGACGACAAUUCUAUUGGCUUUUUUAUUGUGUUUGGAAUAUUUUGUAUAUAUAGUUUCAUUACUACAUUCAUAAUAAUUAUUAUGAGGAUUACAAGAAAACAGAUUAAUAUUGUGUAUCGUGUUGGCAUUCCCCCCACUAAUGCACAUUCCCCCUUGGAAGAUAUCGCGGCAAACCAGGAUUCCAGGCAAAACACCCUUGUCCAUGAUGCAUUUCGCGAGACAUUUUCAUGAAAAAGAUAACUUAAUCAAGAUUGUAGUACGAUAAGCACAUUGUUGUACAAUCAUAUGUAAAUAUUCACUGAUUGUGUAUGUUAAUUUUCACUGAAGAACUGACACUUGUUUUAAUCAAACUUUUUUGCAUUUUCGCCUUGUCCACAUGUAUCGCCACCAUAUGUAUCGUGGUAUUUUUGUGAUUCAUUUCAAAUUAUUUUGGUAAAUAAACCACGUGAACACUU